AACGAACGCUGGCGGCAUGCCUAACACAUGCAAGUCGAACGAGACCUUCGGGUCUAGUGGCGCACGGGUGCGUAACGCGUGGGAACCUGCCCUUAGGUUCGGACUAACUCCCCGAAAGGGGUGCUAAUACCGGAUAAUGUCUUAGGACCAAAGAUUUAUCGCCUUUGGUUGGGCCCGCGUUGGAUUAGCUAGUUGGUAGGGUAAAAGCCUACCAAGGCGACGAUCCAUAGCUGGUCUGAGAGGAUGAUCAGCCACACUGGGACUGGGACACGGCCCAGACUCCUACGGGAGGCAGCAGUGGGGAAUAUUGGACAAUGGGCGAAAGCCUGAUCCAGCAAUGCCGCGUGAGUGAUGAAGGCCUUAGGGUUGUAAAGCUCUUUUACCCGGGAUGAUAAUGACAGUACCGGGAGAAUAAGCUCCGGCUAACUCCGUG
rnacentral:rRNA from 1 species